rnacentral:pre_miRNA from 1 species
GCAAAAGAAUACAAAUUAUGUAAAGAUAAAAGCGUAAAAAUAUAAUGAGAUCAUGAAAUAUCUUUAUGCUCUUAUCUUUAUGUACUUUAUGCUCUUGUGUUUAUGUA